UACGAAGGGGGCUAGCGUUGCUCGGAAUCACUGGGCGUAGAGGGUGCGUAGGCGGCUAAUUAAGUCAGCGGUGAAAUUCCACAGCUCAACUGUGUGAACUGCCAUUGAUACUGGUUGGCUUGAGUACAGAUGAGGUAGGCGGAAUUGACAGUGUAGCGGUGAAAUGCUUAGAUAUUGUCAAGAACACCUAUUGCGAAGGCAGCUUACUAAACUGUAACUGACGCUGAGGCACGAAAGCGUGGGGAUCAAACAGG
rnacentral:rRNA from 1 species